AUUGAACGCUGGCGGCAGGCCUAACACAUGCAAGUCGAACAGUGGCGGACGGGUGAGUAACGCGUAGGUAACUACCGAUUAGAGGGGGUAAACUAUUGGAAACGCUAGCUAAUACCGCAUACUAGUAGAUGUACCUGCGUUGUAUUAGGUAGUAGGUAGGUUAAUGGCCUACCUAUGCAACGAUACAUUGCCGGCCUGAGAAGGUGGUCGGCCACACUGGGAACGGGACACCGCCCAGACUCCUAAGGGAGGCAGCAGUAGGGAAUCUUCGGCAAUGGGGGGAACCCUGACCGAGCAACGCCGCGUGAGUGAAGAAGGUUUUCGGAUCGUAAAGCUCUGUUGUUAAGGAAGCGGUACUUAACCAGAAAGGGACGGCUAACUACGUGCCAGCAGCCGCGGUAAUUC
rnacentral:rRNA from 1 species